CCGAUGAAGGACGUUACUAACGACGAUAUGCUUUGGGGAGCUGUAAGUAAGCUUUGAUCCAGAGAUUUCCGAAUGGGGAAACCCAGCAUGAGUUAUGUCAUGUUAUCGAUAUGUGAAUACAUAGCAUAUCAGAAGGCACACCCGGAGAACUGAAACAUCUUAGUACCCGGAGGAAGAGAAAGAAAAUUCGAUUCCCUUAGUAGCGGCGAGCGAAACGGGAAGAGCCCAAACCAACAAGCUUGCUUGUUGGGGUUGUAGGACACUCUAUACGGAGUUACAAAGGACGACAUUAGACGAAUCAUCUG
rnacentral:rRNA from 1 species